rnacentral:lncRNA from 1 species
ACUUUGCUUUUUAUUUUAUUUUUUAUUUUCAGUGAUUAAGUUAUUAAACUUAAUUGACUUAAGAAUACCUGGAAAAUCUAGGUUGUUAGAUCUUGUUGAUUGCAUAUAACACUGAUAAAUAACAUAGAAGCUCAAAACUUGCAUAGAUCUGAAAUUGAAAUUCAAUAAUAAUCAAAACUCUGAUUCUAAAGUGACAAAAGACAUAUAUUUAUAAUAACCUAUAAUAACCUAAACCUAAGACUCUUGCCUAAAAUAAAAUUACAAGUCAAAUAAUAAAUAACUAAAAAAUAAAACUCUAAAUAGGCAACUAGAAUUCAUAUUAACUAAAAUAUUCCUAAACUCUAUUAAUUUUGAAUCAAAUUAGGAUUUCCUCAAUUUCUUACUCUACAUUAUACCUACUAGGGUGAAAAUAAUUUAUCCUUAAAUUUUGCUUGUUGUAAUCUCUAAUAACAUCUUUAUGUGCAAAAGUAUUGAUAUUCAAAAUAGAGCUUCGAUGUAGAUAGCAAAUUUUGAUUUUUUCAACUUUUGUAACAAUGCCUUUCCAAUCACCCCAAUAGUGUAAAAUAAAUUCUUUAAUUAAUACUUUCUCUAACAUUACCUUGUCGUAUUCUUUGUACUAAAAUAUCAAUGCAUCUAAAGAAAUACCACUAAUUGUUGAAAAUGAUCUUCUUUGCUUUCUUCAACCCAUUAAAAGAGAAUAGUAUGAAAUUGUAUCAAUAAUUAUCUCUCUUUGCUCCACGAGAUCAAAAUAUGCAUCAAAAUUUCCUUUCUCCAUUUUGUCACGUCAAUUUAUUCAUCAAUUCUUUCAGAGAUUGUGUGAAAUCAUUUAUUAGAAUUUGAGAAAUUGACGAAGAUGUGAAUGCAAAAUAAAAUUUUGAUCUAACUCAUUAAUUUCGGCCUCACCAAUCAUAUAUAUCUUCUCCGUUGAAAUUAUCAACAAUGGCUUCAUAAUUAACUUUCUUUUCCAAAAACUUCUAGAAUAUCUCCAAAAACUUCCCGCAAACUCGUAAGAAUAAACAUACAUAUUGUUUAAAGAUGAAAAGUUCACGGCGACCUUGUUGCUUUACGACACUUCAUUUUUUUUUCCCCUUUUUUAUGGUCAUUUCUUUUAGUUUUCCCUUGGUGAUGGCGGUGAGACCUAACUUGUGAUGGAGGCGACGAAUCGAAUGGAGGCAGUAGCCUGCAGGUUUUUGGCUUGUCAUUGCUGCCACAAACAAUAUGAUACCAAACUAAUUGAAAAAUUGAAAAGAUAGAUGGUUGAAUUUGUGGCAACUACAAACAAUAUGAUCUAGACUUUUAACUAUGAUACCAAACUAAUACAACAGCAGGUACAACUAAAGUCGGAGAUGGAUUGCUGGAAAAAAGUAGGAUAUUUUCAAUACUUUGUUUUAUCUAAGAAUUUUUUAAUUAAUGAAAUAAAUUAUAAUUCACGUUGAUUCUAAAAAUACUCGUAAAUCUAAGUUGUUAGAUCUCGUUUAUUCUAUAGAAUACUCAGAAAUAAAACAGAAGCACAAAACUCACACAUAGCUUAAAACUGAAAUUUAAUAAUAAUCGCUACUCAAAUUCUCAAGUUACAAAAGAGUUACAUUUUUAAUAACCUAAACCUAACUUGAGAUUCUUGUCUAACAUAAAAUUAUAGUUUAAAAAAGAAAUACAUAAACAACAAAAUUCUAAAAUAGGUAAUUAGAAUACACAUAAUCAAAAUAUUCUUAAACUCUAUAAAUUUGAAUCUAAUUAGAAUUCCUUCAUUUUCUUAUUCUCUCAUCAACAAGUCUCUUGGUCUCAGCUAAUUUUAGUCCCUCUAAAGAAUAUAGAGAUGCUUUGAAUAUUUGCAGUGUUUGUAAACCAGAUAUUUAUUAAAAAUUAAAAAUUAAAAGUUGAUAAGAUCCUAAAGUGAUUUAACUUUAUUUAACUUUUUUCUCGAAGGUCAAUAAUCCAGCUUAGUGGUAAUAGCAACGUUUAACUAAGCCUUAAGCAAGAUGCAUUUAUAAUUGAUCUAACGGUUUGUCAAUGGCUUGUGCAUGGCCUUAUACUAGUACAUGAUUUGAUUGCAUAAGGUCUAAUUAUAUUCAUAUAUUAGUUACCAUUUUGAUGCCGAUGUCAUUUUAAAGGAUCUCCAACUUUAUGCCAAUGUCAUAACGGCUAAGUUGUUGGAUAACUAAAGAUGUGUUUAAUUGAUUAUUAACACUAUAGUCUCUAUCCUUUAUUAUAAAAUUAUAAAAGUCAAAGGUUUGAAAAGUAUUACACAUAUAAAUUCAUUUUUUUAAUUUUAAAAAUUAUGAUCCAUUGAUCUAGUUUGACGAUGAAAAUGAAUCAUAGUGUAUGGAUAACAAGGCAAUCCCAUAUAAAAUUUUCUAAGUACAUGAAAAAUUAGCAAUAAUAUAAACAAUUUUUUUGUUUUAUAAUAUACUCAUUUAAUAUUGUACAAGCAAAUUGAACAUGUAUUAAAAAUAUGGAUUAUUAACUUUUCAAUUCUUAGAAAAUUAUAAAAUAAGAAAAGGUGAAAUUAGAAAAUAAAAGUCAUGUAAAUAAUGUUACAAAACUUUAUUAGUUUAUGCUAUAUUUUCAUUUAUAUGAUUAUUUGACAUGUUAAUUUAUCUGUAUACACAAUAUGUUAGUUUACCUAAAAAAUACCAACAUUGUCCUCCAAAUUUAAGGAAGCCAUUCUAAUUUUUAUAUUUCAAAGUGUAGCACAACAU